AGGCAUCAGAAUGGAGUUUCAGAGAAGGACGAGCCGGGCACCCGACAGCAAGGGGCAGCCCGUCUCCCCAACAAAGUCCCAGGGAAAAGUGGGCUCUCUUCCAGGCAGUGAGGGCACUCCUGGGGGCUGCCUUCGGGUCUCAGCUCCAUCAUAGGUACUCAGCUAGCUGUAAACAAGCCAUUCGAUUCCCCGAGUUUUAUCUUCCUUCCCAAACAGAGAUUAAGAACCUUGUGAACUAAGGAGAACAGGGCUGUUCUUGGCUUCUCCAUCGCAUUAAUAGAAACAAGUGCAUCGCCUCCAUUUGAAUGGCAAAGCCCUAAGUGAAUUUCUAGCAUGGUCAAUUCCAUGUGAAAACACCCGGAUGCUCGCUCAGGCUCUCCUCCUCGACGUGGAGAAUUUCCUCCCUGGGAGGUGAAUGGUAAACAUUCUCACUUGUGGCACGAAUGCUUAUACAUGGAGUUCAAAGAGGCAUCCACUGGAAAGAAUGGAAGCCCCAGGAGUGGAGACGGAGCUCAGGACACACGGAAUGUAGAAGAAAACCUCCAAGACUCCCAGCGAGUCCAUCAUUCUUUAUGAAACGCCUGGGAAAUGGACAAAGGAUCCCUCAUUCACAGACAGCGGCCAGGAAAUCUGUGACUCAUCCUGGAUAUUCUUCCAAGUUGUGCUCCAAGGAUCUCACACAAGUCCCUGCUGUAAACAACGCUGGCCUGCUUGAAAGAACAUUCCUUUCCUGCAUGCUGAACCCCAAUUUCAGUUUGAAUUUUUAAUAAACUUAUCUCCUGGUUGCUCUCCUGACUCCUCCCAGGCAGCCACUGGCCUCAUUCUUGAAGGACUUGGGAAGGCUCCCAGGUUAUGUAUGUUCUGGAGGGCAGCAAAUUCCAGAGGACCUCUUGGGAAACCCUCUGGCCUCCCCUUUGAAGCCCCAGUGUGCCCCUCUCUUGAGCAGGCAGCAACACAGAGCCCAGUGUUCCCACUGGAGGGAAGGAGCCCAGCAGACAGAAAGCCUCAGAGGUGAAUGGUCUGGUCUGCUGGAGAGAGACCUCGAACACCGAAGAUUUAUUCUGAAGGCAAGCUGGAGAAAGGAGGAUUGUCUGAAGCAAGGCAAGCCCUUCAGGAUUUCUCGUGGAAGGGAGGAUGAACUCGCAUGAUCUGUCUUAACUGAGAAAAAAGCAGCCCAAGUUUCUUCAGUGUCUAAGAGAAAAACUAUGUAAAUAGUGAAAUAUUUGAUGGUUAUCAAUAUAAACACAGAUACACAGCUGCUGGGUGACAGAAUAAACCAGAAGGGUCUGAAACUCGUAA